AGCAGCCGCGGUAAUUCCAGCUCCAAUAGCGUAUAUUAAAGUUGUUGCAGUUAAAAAGCUCGUAGUUGAAUUUCGGGAUCAAUAUGUUGGUCGUGCCUUGGUACGUACUGGCGUCAUUGGUUUCUACCUUCUGAAGAACCUCGAUGUCAUUAAUUUGGUGUCUUGGGGAAUCAGGACUGUUACUUUGAAAAAAUUAGAGUGUUUAAAGCAAGCUCACGCUUGAAUACAUUAGCAUGGAAUAAUGAAAUAGGACGUUUGAUUCUAUUUUGUUGGUUUCUAGGAUCGACGUAAUGAUUAAUAGGGAUAGUUGGGGGCAUUAGUAUUCAAUUGUCAGAGGUGAAAUUCUUGGAUUUAUUGAAGACUAACUACUGCGAAAGCAUUUGCCAAGGAUGUUUUCAUUAAUCAAGAACGAAAGUUAGGGGAUCGAAGACGAUCAGAUACCGUCGUAGUCUUAACCAUAAACUAUGCCGACUAGGGAUCGGAUGAUGUUAAUUUUUUAAUGACUCAUUCGGCGCCUUACG
rnacentral:rRNA from 2 species